rnacentral:rRNA from 1 species
AGGACGAACGCUGGCGGCGUGCUUAACACAUGCAAGUCGAGCGGUAAGGCCUUUCGGGGUACACGAGCGGCGAACGGGUGAGUAACACGUGGGUGAUCUGCCCUGCACUCUGGGAUAAGCCUGGGAAACUGGGUCUAAUACCGGAUAUGACCUGCUCUCGCAUGGGGGGUGGGUGGAAAGAUUUAUCGGUGCAGGAUGGGCCCGCGGCCUAUCAGCUUGUUGGUGGGGUAAUGGCCUACCAAGGCGACGACGGGUAGCCGACCUGAGAGGGUGACCGGCCACACUGGGACUGAGACACGGCCCAGACUCCUACGGGAGGCAGCAGUGGGAAUAUUGCACAAUGGGCGAAAGCCUGAUGCAGCGACGCCGCGUGAGGAUGAAGGCCUUCGGGUUGUAAACCUCUUUCAGCAGGACGAAGCGCAAGUGACGGUACUGACAGAAGAAGCACCGGCUAACUACGUGACCAGCACGGCCGAC